ACGGGAGGCAGCAGUGGGGAAUAUUGGGCAAUGGGCGAAAGCCUGACCCAGCGACGCCGCGUGAAGGAUGAAGGUCUUCGGAUUGUAAACUUCUGUCGACAGGGAAGAAACAAAUGACGGUACCUGUUGAGAAAGCCACGGCUAACUACGUGCCAGCAGCCGCGGUAAUACGUAGGUGGCAAGCGUUAUCCGGAUUUACUGGGUGUAAAGGGUGUGUAGGCGGGAUUGCAAGUCAGAUGUGAAAAUUAUGAGCUUAACUCAUAACCUGCAUUUGAAACUGUAGUUCUUGAGAGUCGGAGAGGUAAACGGAAUUCCUGGUGUAGCGGUGAAAUGCGUAGAUAUCAGGAGGAACACCGGUGGCGAAGGCGGUUUACUGGACGACAACUGACGCUGAGACACGAAAGCGUGGGGAGCAAACAGGAUUAGAUACCCUGGUA
rnacentral:rRNA from 1 species